AUUACUCUUGCUAUGGAUCCUACCUGGACAACUGAGGGAUUACACAAACAAAUAUUUUAUUGGCCAAUUUUAAUUAAUACAGAUGGGAGCAGCAAAAAUGUAUACUGAUGAAAUCCAGAUUGUUGUUAUAUAGUGAGUUAUGGGUUCUGAGCAGGUGUAACAUUUGUGAAUUUACCUUUUAUGUUAUUUUGUGGCAAAGUACAAUGUUAUCAACAACAUGCUCUUGCCCCCAUCUGAGAAUAUGGCAUCAUCACAUCUAAAAUCUGGAAACCACCAAUUGUACACCCUUUUGUUAUAUCGAAAUUUAAUAAUGUAUAAUUGUAUGUAUGUUACAAAUAAAUCAGUUGUUGAAGGGAAUCUGGAAAUUGCUUGGGUAUUUUUGUUUUAAAUCGUUGUCUUUCACAGAAAUACUCCCACCUGCCCACGUUCACGAAGAUUUCUACAACAGAGCGAACAUCAGUACUCCCCAGAAGAAAAUGAAGACUAUGUUGCUGAUUCUGAAGAUGAAGCUACAAAGAACUUUAAAGGACGGCUUUUUGCUAAACGCUAUUGUAAAACCAAGCAUGGCACAUAUGUUCCUACUCUGAGGGAGUAUUGGAAACCGUGCACACAGAGGCGCAUCCUCCUUGUUCCUUGCAGUAAACGGCGAUGACUGGACAUUUUAGGGACUCUGACACACCGGUUUGACCACCAUUUGACUCGUUACUAAAUCAGUAACGUCUGAUUUUGCAUCAUUCUUACAUUAGUUUCGUUUGGGUGCUUUCUCAUCAUGUGGAAAAACAAACUUAAACCUUGCCAUAUAAAGUCAUUUUAAGGAUAUAUGUGUUUAAUUUUAAUCUUUAAUAUUUUAUUCCCACCUCAUCAAUCUUAAACUGUAAUUUUGUAUUCAAAUAAAAAUAUAUGUAUUUUA